UCAGUGGUGGUCAAGUGGCUAAGACUCUGCACUCCCAAUGCAGGGGGCCUGGGUUUGAUCCCUGGUUGGGGAA
rnacentral:tRNA from 1 species